rnacentral:rRNA from 1 species
UCCCAGUUCGGACUGGAGUCUGCAACCCGACUCCACGAAGUUGGAUUCGCUAGUAAUCGCGCAUCAGCCAUGGCGCGGUGAAUACGUUCCCGGGCCUUGUACACACCGCCCGUCAAGCCAUGGGAGCCGGGGGCGCCUGAAGUCCGGGACCGCGAGGACCGGCCUAGGGCGAAACUGGUAACUGGGGCUAAGUCGUAACAAGGUAGC